UCCUACGGGGGGCAGCAGUGAGGAAUAUUGGUCAAUGGGCUUACGCCUGAACCAGCCAAGUCGCGUGAGGGAAGACUGCCCUAUGGGUUGUAAACCUCUUUUGUCAGGGAGCAACGCCGGCUACGUGUAGCCGGACUGAGAGUACCUGAAGAAAAAGCAUCGGCUAACUCCGUGCCAGCAGCCGCGGUAAUACGGAGGAUGCGAGCGUUAUCCGGAUUUAUUGGGUUUAAAGGGUGCGUAGGCGGAAUGCCAAGUCAGCGGUAAAAUCGCGGGGCUCAACCCCGACAAGCCGUUGAAACUGGCUU
rnacentral:rRNA from 1 species